UACGUAGGGGGCAAGCGUUGUCCGGAAUCAUUGGGCGUAAAGCGCGUGUAGGCGGCUCGAUAAGUCCGCUCUGAAAGUCCAGGGCUCAACCCUGGGAUGCGGGUGGAUACUGUCGGGCUCGAGUCCGGAAGAGGCGAGUGGAAUUCCUGGUGUAGCGGUGAAAUGCGCAGAUAUCAGGAGGGACACCAAUGGCGAAGGCAGCUCGCUGGGACGUGACUGACGCUGAGACGCGAAAGCGUGGGGAGCAAACAGG
rnacentral:rRNA from 1 species